rnacentral:lncRNA from 1 species
GUCAGUCUGGAGGAGGCAGCCAUGUGUCCAUGAAUGCUUAUUUAGUACGGUGAGGACAGAUGGCCUGGAAUUGCUGAAGAAGACCUUAAGAUAUAUUUAAAAGAGGAAAGGGAAAGAAACAAUAAGGGAGGAAAUAAAUUAGAGAAGAGGCAAAUGUGUGGCAAAGAAAAGUACACACACACAUAAACACACACACAUGCAAGCCACAUGCACACAAAUGCAGACAGACUAUAAAGUGGAUUAUAGGACUGUGUAUGUCCUACACACACAUUAUAUGUCCUACACGCACAGUGAUGAGGAGUGACAAAAUGAAGACUCCAGAAUCCUCUUUAUCAGAUCCUGAAUGUGCACUUUCUGAAGUGAAGUCCACUAUGUGCUGGGCACACAGAGAAUAGAGCAUGAAACAAAAGCAACAUGACCCUGCCCUCACCAAGACUACAGGGAGUGAUGGAGCAUACAACUUUGUUUCAGAAUGCAAUUCAGAUCUUCCCUUUCGCUUGGCUUCUUAAAACUUCUUUUGAGGAUGGUAAAAUUUCGUGUUAUAUUAAAUUUCAUCCUGUAACUGAUACUCUGGGAUGAUGUUGGCCAAUAACUAGCAAGACUUUAAAUAAUCAACUAGUUUAGGCAUUGCUUAGCACGCUCCAGCUGACUUCACAAGUAAAACCAUGUGAAGAAAGAAGGUUUUCAGGUAACACAGAUGGAGGUGAUGAUCUUUCUCAUUUUGUGGAAAAUAUUAAUUUCUCAUUUUUUAUUCACUGACAAUUAGUAAAAUUCCUUACUCUACCUAAUAUGUAGACUUCUGAACUAUGUGAGGAAACUGAAGCACAGACAGAGUACAUAACUUUCCUCAGGUCACAGAGCUAGUAAGUACGGAAGUCAAACACUGCCAGGCUGGCUUGAUCAAUCGUGACUAAGUAUGUCUUGCAAAUAUUUCCCAAACUUUACACUUUCUGUUCUAUUUGGUUUAUUAUUACAUGUAUUACAAACUAGGUUUCAUAUAAUCAAAUCCAUUGAUUUUAAAAUACUUUCUUUUCGGUAUACAGAUUAUUUCUCAAGGCCAGGUGUGGUGGCUCAUGCCUGUAAUCCCAGCACUUUGGGAGGCCAAGGCGGGUGGAUCACAAGGUCAGGAGAUAGAGAUCAUCCUAGCCAACAUGGUGAAACCCCGUCUCUACUAAAAAUACAAAAAUUAACUGGGAAUGGUGGCAUGUGCCUGUAGUCCCAGCUACUCAGGAGGCUGAGGCAGGGGAAUUGCUUGAACCCGGAAGGCGGAGGUUGUGGUGAGCCGAGAUCACACCACUGCACCCCAGCCUGGGCGACAAAGUGAGACUCUGUCUCAAAAAAAAAAAACAAAAAAACAAAAAAACUACUUCUUUAUAUGGGAAGGUAAGCAAACAACUACACAAAGACAUUUUGUCAGGUAUGGUUUAUGUCAUUAUUGUUUAGAAUAGCAAAACAUUCAGAAGCAACUUAAAUGUCCAUCCACUGAGGUGUGAUUAAAUAUAUCAUGAUACAUUCAUACACAGAUCUUAUGCAGUCACAAGGAUGAGAAAGCUGAAUAUAUAUUUCUAUUGACACAAUUUAGUCACUGCAUAUUGAUAAAAAGGAAUGCUUUUGAAAUAGAAGCUCACCUAUGUUUUAAAAACAUAUGUGUUGUAAAUACAUGUUUACCUCAAUCUAUUCAUAUAUGAGUAGAAGUUCGUGCUUGGCUGCUUAUCUCUUUUUGAAAACAUUUUUAACAGAGAAUGGAUUACUGGUGAAAAAAUACUUUUUCCAAAAAAUUUAAGGGCUGAAUUCUAGCCCUAACUUUCACUAAUGCACAUGGCUCUUUGAUUAAAAUCAAGAAACACUCUUAUUUUUUUAAGAAAAGGCUUUCUUUACUAAGAGAUCAAAUAAAUAUUCACUUUCUGGCUGAUAGUUUUUCUGAAAUACACAUGAUUGCUAUUUUAAAAAUAUCUUUUUGUGUCUCUUUAGAUAUCUCUUAAUGCACUCUAGGUGUCAAAUAUGAGCAAUCUGUUUGUAGGAGAGAAUGGCUCCUUGCUCCAAUAGGUAGAUCUCUCUAAGAAUCCUCCUAACACACUAUUGUUAACUUAUAAAUAUGCUCAGGCACAUAAUAGGUACUUAGUAAAUAUAUGUUGACUCUUGAAUGAAGAGCUGAUUGGAGUAAUGAAAACAGCCUGUGUUAGUACCCUGACCGAAGUUUAGACUUAAUCCCCAUAUAGAUAAUUUCAGAAAUACAUUCUUAGGGCCAGGCUUGGUGACUCACACCUGUAAUCCCAGCACUUUGGGAGGCCGAGGUGGGUGGAUCACGAGGUCAGGAGUCCAAGACCAUCCUGGCUAACACAGUGGAAUCCUGUCUGUACUAAAAAUAUGAAAAAUUAGCCAGGUGUGGUGGCGGGUACCUGUAGUCCCAGACACUCGGGAGGCUGAGGCAGGAGAAUCACUUGAACUUGGGAAGCGGAGGUUGCAGUGAGCGGAGAUCGUGCCAUUGCACUCCAGCCCGGGCGAUAGUGAGAGACUCUGUCUCAAAAUAAAAAAUUAAAAAAAAAUAUAUAUAUAUAUAAUUGGAAUAAUUAUGAAACAUGUACAUACAUGCACCAAAAUGUAAGCUUGAUGGUAAAGAUAUUUAUUGAUUAGUCACUGCUGUAUCAUUAGGACCGAGGUCACUGUCUGACAAUAGAUACUCAAUAAAUAUUGUUUAAAAAAGUAAAUUAAUAGUUUACAUGCUAUAUAAAAUAACCCGCUUAUGUAAAAUAAACCAUUUUUUCAAAUUACUAGAAAGUAAGGUUAGUUUUAUUAUAAUUAUCUCACAGGUUACUAAACUAAAACUGAUAGAAUUUAAGUAACUUGCCCAAGCUUUUACAGUUGGGAAAUGCUAGAUCUGGGAUCUAAAGCUCCUGGGAUCUAAGUGUGAUCUUAGAGUUCAUGUAAGCAAGCUGUACAUCCUUUCUUUACAUACCACUCUGGGGCUGUGAGGAAAAAGAGACUAUAAUAAAUAUUUUGCACUGUUUUAUUGCUACUCAAAUGUCCUUUCAUUCAUUCAUUUAGCAAAUCUUCAUGGAAUGCUUACCAUGUGUCUUUUUUAGAAACUGGGAUUGGAUUACAAUGGUUGAAAAAAAAAAUAGGUGAAGUUCCCCAUUCUAAUGGGGAAGGAAAGAAACAACAAAUGUGCCAACUAGGGACUAAAAAAGGUAAUUUAAAAAUCUGAUGAUUGUUCUGAGGAACCUUUAAAUGGGUUGAUCAAGGAUGGCUCCAAGAAGGGAAAAUUCUCCACUGGAAGCUCUGGGACAGACUGUUAGAGGCAGGACCAAAUAGCAAGGGCAAUAAACCCAGUGUGUUUGAGUAUUUUGAAAUGGCUGGUGUGCCUGGAACAUAGUGAACCGGGGGAAGUGGGAGCCAGAUGGCAAGUCCUUCAAAGUCAUUUUUAUUUAUUUGCAAUACUUAAAGCUUCCAGAGAAUGGGUGUUUGAUUUGGGCAUUUUAAGCUGAUUUAAGCCUACUGAGCAACAAUUAAAAAUCAUUUAACCUCUCUACCCAAACAUUUGAGUUAUUUCAAUUUUCAAUGAUGCUUUAAAAUAUGAAGAGGAAAAAUAGAGAUAGUAUAAGUUAACAUUAUGAACCCUGUGAAAGAAGAAUUCAAAAUAAAUCACUAGGGAUGUUAGACUGGCUAAAGAAAAGGUUGCUUAAUACUGGCAUUGGCUUUCAAGAGAAAUCAUGGAAUCUCCCCUCUGGAGAUAGUUUAAAAUAGGAUUAGAUAUAUUCACUCAGUGCAGCCUUGCCUGAAAGCUCCAUUGACCUCCCAAGGUCUUGCCAGUCCUGUGAUUCUGUGAUAAAAUUAGACCCUUUCAUUGGACAAAAACAACCCAGGGUUCACCAUGCCAGCUGCAACCUGGAAUAAUUGGAAGGAACUGAUUUUGGAGUAGUAUACCUCCUAGAGUUGAGACAAGAUGCAAUUAACAGAUCCCCAAACCUCUCCUAUUUCAUGCUGUACUGAGUACUCUGCUGGUUCUCAGCCAAUAAUGGCUGGUAUCAAUGAUACAAGCAAAGUCAAAUGGUCUGAUCCAUGAUUAAAUAGUAGAUGUCUUUAUUAGCUGCUGACCUUGCUUUGAACAGUAUGGCUUCAAGAAUUGUGUGCCUAUUAGCUGAUUCUUUAAUCCCUGAAAAUAGAAACCAGAUGAAUCCAAUAAUGCAUUUUUAUUUGGCCUCUUUUCCACCAUUCUCAAGACGAAAUAACUCAAGUUCCUAUGCCAUGAGCCUUAACCUCAUUAAGCAACUCAGCUCAACAGUUCAGAUACUUAAUCUGCAAUAUUUACCCAUUGCAUUUUCUCAUUUAACAAUCACUGCUUUGAAGAAAAAUUCAAGUAAAUAUAUAUAUAUAUAUAUAUAUAUAUUUCUUUUUUGUUUUUUCCUGACAUUCUCAUUUAGAGGCAAAUAGGCAGUGACUAGAGCACAACUCUGGAGUGAGGCAGACCUGGGGUUAAAGCUGUCUCCUUGUGACCUAGAAUGUAAUUAUUAACUUGAAGAAGUUUCCAAUCUCUGAGGCUUGCUUUAUUUAUCUAUGUAUUAGGGAUAAUCUUAUUACCCACCUCAUGGACUUGAUAUUAGGAUUAAAUUAGCUAAUAUAUAAUAACAUACUUCUCUUUCUUCAUCUUCUACAUUCUUCUUUAUCCCAUCUCUGAUGAUUAUGUUUUCUUGCUUACUGUUUUUUCUUUCACUUCCCACCUUCACCAUCUGCUAACACACACACACAAAUACACACAAAUCCAGAUGUGAGUCCAUGACAACAGGGACCCUCUGACAGUGCCUACAAAGAGUUACACAUAAAUAUCCCUUGACAUACAUUUGUGGGGUAAAGGAAAGCAUCAAACAUUUUGCACACUGGUACCUGGUAUAUGAUGAGCAUUCUAUGAAAGGUUAACUGAUUUUUUUUUCUUAGAAAUAACAGAUUCAGCUAUAUCUAUCAGUUUAUUUUGUCAUCUGAAGCAGCCUGCUGUCAAGAGGAAAGUGAGAGGAACAUGCACAGUGGACAGAACUUGGUUCUGGCUUUGUAACAAUAACGUUACUGUAUUUUAUUUAUUUUUUGAGACAGAGUCAGUCGGUCGCUCAGGCUGGAGUGACAUCAUGGCUUACUGCAGCCUCAACCUCCUGGGCUCAAGUGAUCCUCCCAUCUCAACCCUAUGAGUAUCUGAGACUACAAGCAUGCACCACCAUGCCUUGCUAAUUAAAAAAAAAAUUAUUUGUAGAUAGGGGGUUUCCUUUUAUUGCCCAGGCUGUUCUUCAACUCCUUGAACUUCUCUUGCCUCAGACUCCCAGAGUACUGGCAUUAGAGGCAUGAGCCACCAUGCUCAGCCACAAUAAUGUAAUUUUGGACAAGCCAUUGCAUCUCUUUGGUUUCCUUCCAUAUGUGAGAUUUCAUAUUCUUAUUACUAUUGCAACUGAUUUUUAUGCAACUGCACAUUAUAAUCCUUAGUAAAAGGGGUAUAAGAGACUAAAGAAAACAUGUAGUUAUGCUAUUAAAUGCUCUCAGAACCAUCCCCUCACAUUCUGAGUAUCCUCAGUUAACUUCAUUGUAGAAUGAGGAAAUCAGGAAACAGAGAGAUUGAAGAAUGCAUAAGUAUAUGAAACAUUCCCAGUGAGUAUUUUCACUACUUUCCUAUUUACCUAGUCACAAUCCACAAAACACAAAAGAGGAGAACCCUCAAGCUUGGAUCAGCAGGGAGAACUGAGCAGCUUUGUGUUCGUUCUUGGAUAUAUUUGUCUUUCUUGCAAGCCAAAAUACCUCCAUGUUUGUGUUCUAGAGCAAAUGUUUCUUUAGUCUCUUUCAUAGAGUUCCCUUUUCUUCUUUAUUUACUUUACUUAUUCAUCAUGUCCAUAAUGUACAUUCAGACCUCAAGUAUUGGCUAGGACAAGGCUGGGGAGGAAAGCACUUCGUGGCAUGAGGUUCACAUUUUUGAAAGGAGGAUCAUAGGACCCUGGAGAUUUAGACGUUAACACAGCUCCUUUCCAUUUUAAAUUGUAAAUAUUUAUGCAAAUUCAAGAUGAAAGAAUAUAUGCUAGUUUGUCUUUAAACAAGUAAAUAUCUGAAAAGCUUAAGAAGGUGGGAUGGAUGCUCAUGAAAGGGAAAGGAAAAAGGCAAAAGGGCGGAAGAAAGACGAGAAAAUGAAAGACAGAAAGAAUGUGUAAAACAGGAAGAAUGUGAAAGACAAAAUGAAAAGACUUCUCAAACUCAAAAUGGCAAGCAAUAUGAUCAACAGGUAGAACUAAUAACUAGAAAAGCUGCUUUAAGGGCAAAGUUUUUAAUACUUUUUAUUUAUUUAUUUAUUGUUAUUUAUUUUUGAGAUGGAAUCUCACUCUGUCACCAGGCUAGAGUGCAGUGGCAUGAUCUCAGCUCACUGCAACCUCCGACUCACUGGUUCAAGCGAUUCUUCUGCCUCAUCCUCUCAAGUAGCUGGGAUUACAGUCACGUGUCACCAUGCCCAGCUAAUUUUUGUAUUUUUAAUAGAGAAGGGGUUUCACCAGGUUGGCCAGGAUAGUCUUGAUCUCCUGACCUCGUGAUCUGCCUACCUCAGCCUUCCAAAGUGCUGGGAUUACAGGCGUGAGCCACCACGACUGGCCCAAGUUUUUAAUAAUUUUUUGAAACUUUUUUUUUUUCAGAAUUUAGAACUUGGAUGGUGAUUUGAUUGGGGAGAUGUUUUGAAAAGGGAAAAAAAAAUGAAUAGUAGAAAUGUCUAAAGAUGCUGAUUAAGAGGAACAACAAAGCCAGAUGGCAUAAAUGGCAUCUUUAGGAAUUUUGUGGCAUAAGAAGCUAUGCUAAAAAGUUCCCCUCUGUCCUGAAUGUGGUGCAGUCACACACUGAGCAUGCUCUGUGUCCUUAGUUAGCCACAUGAACUCACUUAAUGUGCUCGACCUUAAAACCUCUACCUUUGUCUUAGCGAUUUAGACUGUUUGUUUUUUAGCUGUUUUCAGUACUUCAUCAAGCUGAUUUUGUUGCCCUUUUAGAAAUCUUAAUCAGUAAAAGUUGUCUUCUUUGUAAAACAGUUAUGGCAUAUCUAUACUCUAGAAUUUUAAGCAGCCAUUAAAAAGAAUGAGGAUAUCUACAUGUAUUGAACUUAGAUUAGGUUAAAAUAUCAACUUGCAGAAUAAUUGGUACAAACCUAUUUUGGUUACUAACAGUAACAUGUAUAUAUUUGUAUCAUUAUAGCAAGAGGUAGAAAAAAAUACACAUAAACUACUAGCUUUAGUUUUCUGCAAGACAGAGAGGGUGUAGAAAGCAAAGGGAUUAUUAAUUUUUUUCUUCAUAUUUCUACAUUGUUUAUUUGUUAUAAUAAUCAUGCAUCGCUUUUGUUGUUAAGAUAAUAAUGUGGAAAACUAUUUAAAGACUUCCUUACAGUUAUUAUGUAGGACUAUCCCUUUAUAAGAACUAAUAUUUUAUGGGAAUUAUUUGGAAUAUCAUUCAUAGUUAUUCCCUAAAUAAUUAUCAUGCUAGAUAUUUACUCCAUGCAUGCUUUAAACACUGAGUCAGAUGCUGCAAACUGUCUAUUCAAUAACCAUUCUGCCAUUUUCCUUACUAUAUGAAAGCUUAUAAUAGUCUCAGAGGCAACAUGGCCAGCAUAAAAGUAGAACAACAGAACAGAAUGAAACAUAAGAAAACAGAAACAAACAAGUAGAAGCUCAAAUAUCCACACAACUAAAAGUGGCGAUGAUAAUAAAAUCUGGCUCUGGUGACAUAAGCGGAAGUUGUUGUGUGGAACGUGCAGGAGGACUCCUUCAAAAGGAAUAUGGACAGGGAGUGCACACUUUUCCAGCCUUCUUGUCUCAUUCCUUCUUGCUGCCAGGAACAAUGACAUGAGAACUGGAGCGCUAACAGCCAUUCAGAUCAUGAGGCAACAUUAAGGAUGAAAACCACACACUGAGGAUGAUGGAGCAGAAAAAACGGAGAGAAGGAGAUUUUCUGACCAUCCCAUGGUGCCAGUUGACACACCUGGACUGCCUACUUCUGACUCUCUUGUAUUUGAAAUAAUACAUUUUGUUGUGUUUAAUCACUACUAUUUUGGAUUUUCUGUUGUAUGCAGCUGAAUUUAGUUCUAAUUGAUGUAGACAAGUCUGUCUGUAACUAGAUGCAUGUGGAAAAUAAAACUUUUAUGGGAAAAAUAC